GAAACUUAAUAAUUUGACGGCAUUUUAAACCAUAAAGGAGUUUGUAAUUUAAUCGUCAAUUCACGUUAAAUCUUACUUAAUAUAGUUUGUAUACCUCCGUCAAAGAUUUUAUUUUAAAUAGAAAAAAAAUUCAAAAUCCAAAAAGAAAUAAUUCAGGUCAAGGUGCAACUUUUUAAGAUAUUAUGAACUUCAAUCUAAAAUAAAGAUAUAGACUUAGUAUGAAAAAAAAAGAAAAGUGAAUUUAUAAGUAAAAUAAAAUUAGAAUGUUUAUUUGAAAUAAUUAAAAUGUGUACACAUCG
rnacentral:rRNA from 1 species